rnacentral:rRNA from 1 species
AGAGUUUGAUCCUGGCUCAGGACGAACGCUGGCGGCGUGCCUAAUACAUGCAAGUCGAGCGAGCUUGCCUAGAUGAUUUUAGUGCUUGCACUAAAUGAAACUAGAUACAAGCGAGCGGCGGACGGGUGAGUAACACGUGGGUAACCUGCCCAAGAGACUGGGAUAACACCUGGAAACAGACGCUAAUACCGCAUAACAUUGCUUUAAGGCAUCUUAAGGCAAUCAAAGGAGCAAUCCGCUGAAAGAUGGGCUCGCGUCCGAUUAGAUAGUUGGCGAGGGUAACGGCCCACCAAGUCGACGAUCGGUAGCCGGACUGAGAGGUUGAACGGCCACAUUGGGACUGAGACACGGCCCAGACUCCUACGGGAGGCAGCAGUGGGGAAUAUUGCACAAUGGGGGAAACCCUGAUGCAGCGACGCCGCGUGAGGGAAGAAGGUUUUCGGAUUGUAAACCUCUGUCUUUGGUGACGAAAGAUGACGGUAGCCAAAGAGGAAGCUACGGCUAACUACGUGCCAGCAGCCGCGGUAAUACGUAGGUGGCAAGCGUUGUCCGGAAUUACUGGGUGUAAAGGGAGCGUAGGCGGGAAGACAAGUUGAAUGUUUAAACUAUCGGCUCAACCGAUAAUCGCGUUCAAAACUGUUUUUCUUGAGUGAAGUAGAGGCAGGCGGAAUUCCUAGUGUAGCGGUGAAAUGCGUAGAUAUUAGGAGGAACACCAGUGGCGAAGGCGGCCUGCUGGGCUUUAACUGACGCUGAGGCUCGAAAGCGUGGGUAGCAAACAGGAUUAGAUACCCUGGUAGUCCACGCUGUAAAC